CCUACGGGCGGCAGCAGUGGGGAAUAUUGGGCAAUGGGCGUAAGCCUGACCCAGCAACGCCGCGUGAAGGAAGAAGGCUUUCUGGUUGUAAACUUCUUUUGACAGGGAAGAGCAGAAGACGGUACCUGUCGAAUAAGCCACGGCUAACUACGUGCCAGCAGCCGCGGUAAUACGUAGGUGGCAAGCGUUGUCCGGAUUUACUGGGGGUAAAGGGCGUGUAGCCGGGCUGACAAGUCAGAUGUGAAAUCCGGGGGCUCAACCCCCGAACUGCAGUUGAAACUGUUGGUCUUGAGUAUCGGAGAGGCAGGCGGAAUGCCUGGUGUAGCGGUGAAAUGCGUAGAUAUUAGGAGGAACACCAGUGGCGAAGGCGGCCUGCUGGACGACAACUGACGGUGAGGCGCGAAAGCGUGGGGAGCAAACAGGAUUAGAUACCCCAGUAGUC
rnacentral:rRNA from 1 species